rnacentral:rRNA from 1 species
AACGGCCGUACCAUGCUGAAUAUACCGGUUCUCGUUAGAUCACCGAAGUUAAGCAUCAUUGGGCGCGGUCAGUACUUGGGUGGGUAACCACCUGGGAACACUGCGUGCUGUU